AACGCAUAUGGCACCUGCCAGUCCUGCUGGAAGGUAUGCCUGUUUGAGAAUCACACUAUCACUCUGAUCCGAUUGCAUAUCCACGUGCAGUUGAUCGACAUGGGCCUUCAGCACUGAUUGCCUCGAAUUGCUCGCGAUCGUCGUGGUAGACAAGGGGGUGUGGCAGCGAUGCCAUCCAAUGUUGUCGACGAUCAAUCCGUGCUCGUGAUCUCAAAUCAGGCAAGGCUACCCGCUGAACUUAA
rnacentral:misc_RNA from 1 species